GGGCCAGCGAAGUGCUUUUACUUAUGAGUUUGCUAACCCGGCAGAAUCCAAUAUUCCUGAGAUUGACGGAUGUUAUUACAUUAUUGUACUACAGCUGAAAACUCUUGGCAUUGAUGUGUAACCAUCAAGCUGCAGAUGCCGAGGGCCAUAUUCACCGGACAUCAGAUCAUCAAGAGCGUGGUACAACUGGCCACACGCACGAAAAGUGUAGACGCCGGUUCCCGCGGCAGUGCUCACUUGUCGAUCAAGGUUGACACCAAGAGUUGUGAAUGAGAACUCGUCAGAAACUUCCGGAGUAAACACACCCACCUUGCCCUUUCUGCAACAAAAUGCAGGCCCCUCGUAUUGAAACCGCAAUGCUCCACAGUGGCAGCAGUCGCUAACUUUUCGAAGGACAUGGUGCUUUUUGGGCAGGUUCAUGUAUACUUUGUCAUGAGUGUCAUUAGUGCGAGUUCCAUCACCAUGAUUCCGAUCCACAAGGUAGGAUUGAAAUUCAACAUCUGGAAAAGUGUAGACAUUUGCAUUAAGUAAAUUUGUUGCACAAACCAUUUUGUUGUACUAUAUAUUGUGUUGGUACAUCAUGAUAGCAACAAUAGACCUGGUUGGGCAAACAUCCUAGCUUCCUCAUCAGGGUCAUCAUCUCCAAGGUUGUCGCCUGCCAAGCAGUCUAGCCGCCAACGCCGUCGAUAAUGCAAAAGGUGUUUCAAAUAACGGUCAGGACACGAAACAAAGGUAACCGGGUGAGAGGAGACUUAAAACGAUAUUAUGUGUACCAUCAAUAUUAAUCGUGUGGGCAUCAGGCUCCAGUAUUCCAUAUGGAUCUUCGUCGUGGUUGUUGCCUGAUAACAUUGUGAGUUAAAAUGAUAUUAUGUGUAUCAUCAGUAUUAUGAGUAAGAAUCAGAGAUGAAUUGAAUUUAUGAACCAGGUGUUAGUAAAAAUAUACCAAUUAGAUUAUGAGUGCCAGGACCCGCAUCAGGGAUCGUUUCCAUUACUGGACUAUUGUAAGUUGGCUGGAUCGUUACAGGUUGUUUGCCUACAUAAAUAGAAGACUUUGUACCUGAAUGAUGACAUUAUUGUAGCCGAAUGAAAUAUUAUAUAUUGUAGCAUAAAUAUUUCAAUGAACUAACCUUUGUUUUGUCCUGACUCCU